AGGCUCUGCGUUUCAUUGGUGAAAGACUAGCCGUCGUCUCUGACUCUCGCGGUACUGCUGCACGAAGAUGGCGGCCGAACUGGUGGAAGCGAUGAACAUGGUCAAAAGUUUCCGGGUCUCAGACCUGCAGACGCUGCUGGCCUCAAUGGGUCGCAGCAAAAGUGGGCUGAAGCAGGACCUGGUGGGGCGCGCACUGAGGCUGGUGCAAACCGAAUACAGCCCGGAGCUUCUGAAGAACGUCAGGCAGCUCUACGAGUCGCGCUUCCCCAAAACAUCUGGCUGGCUUGCAGCACGGCGUCCAGAGGGCGUCCCAGUUGCCUACUCACCCCUCAGCCACUCCCCCACUGCCACCUCUCAGGGCGCAGACUACCUCAAUGGCAUUUCCAAACCGAUCCCAACACCUGCAGCAGAGGUCAAGCUGGUGCCACUGCCCUUCUACCAAACCUUGGAGACACUGUUGUCCCCAACAGAGCUAAUUGCCCAGAACAAUGAGAAACUGCAGGACAGUCAGUGCAUAUUUGAGUUAACACCGAACCAAGCAGAUCAGAUCCGAAAUGCAAGUGAGCUUCGUCCAGGGAUUAGAUCAAUCCAAGUGGUUCUUAGAAUCUGUUACACAGACUCCAUUGGUGUUCAGGAGGACCAGUAUCCUCCCAACAUUGCUGUCAAAGUCAACCAGUCCUACUGUCAUGUGCCGGGCUAUUACCCCUCCAACAAGCCUGGAGUUGAACCCCGUCGUCCUUGUCGACCUGUAAACAUCACUCCCUGGUUGCAUCUCUCCAGUGUCACCAACAGAGUCACUGUCACCUGGGGAAACUUUGGCAAGCGGUAUUCGGUGGCAGUGUAUUUAGUGAGGGUCUUCACUGCAGCAGACCUCUUCAGCCAACUCAAACUCUGCUCUGUUGAGAGUGCAGAACGCUGUCGUGAACGCAUCCAAGACAAACUACGUUUUGACCCAGAGAGUGAAAUUGCAACCACAGGCCUUCGAGUUUCUCUCAUUUGUCCACUGGUGAAGAUGCGGCUCGGUGUCCCAUGUCGAGUUUUAACUUGUGCCCAUCUUCAGUGUUUCGACGCAGUCUUCUUCCUGCAGAUGAAUGAGAAGAAGCCCACAUGGACUUGCCCCGUCUGUGACAAGCCCGCUCCCUUUGAGCUACUUACAAUUGAUGGUCUGUUAUCUGAGAUUCUGAAGGAGACAAGUGAGGACAUUGAGGAGAUUGAGUAUUUAACUGAUGGCUCCUGGCGACCCAUCAGAGAUGACAAGGAGAGGGACAGGGAACGAGAGCGCAGCAACACACCAGAGUACCCUGUUGUUGAUAUAUGCAUUCCUGAGGCAAACGGUCAUUCUCCGGCCCACAGCAGCACCAGCCUGACGGGCAAAUCUGGCAGCAGUUCUGUGGGGAUGGCAGGAGUCACAGGAGGACCUGCUGUGGCACCGGGAGGAGGCGCAGUGGUAGAUCUGACUCUUGACUCCUCCUCUGAGGAGGAAGGGGGUGGGGCAGGAGGCGACAGUGAGGACACAGAGGACAGCGCUGACAGUCCUGCCCCGAAGAGGGGCCGAUACAACUACGACAAGGACCUGGUCACUGCCUACUGACCCCACAGCUCUGUCCCCUCAUAGACUGACACACACACAGAGACUGAGAGACAGGGGGCUACAAACUUGAGGACAGGAACACAGUAAUCCACUAGAUGCAACGACCCUCCCUUAUGCCCAAACAUCAGAGCCUUUUAGCAGCUCUGGUUUAUAUCCAGACAAAACAAACACACACUCAAACAUGCACUGUUAAUGAAUCUUCAAUCUAGAGUGAUUAGGAUUCCUCUUUGUACUGUACACCACUGGAAGCAACUCUUUUUCGGCCAACCGUCACCUUGCAGUGAAUAUCUGUACCGUCCUGCCUCUACUAAAGAAACUGAAUGGAUUGAGCACCCCCAACACCACCACCCCCACCCCCACCACCCCCUUUCCUCCUCUCUCUCCAGACAAUUUCCUCUCUACCACCCCAUCUCUCUUUGUAUUUGACUUGGAAUUACAGGCUCUUUUAGCCAUGGGCGUUCACUGUUUGCGUCUCUGAUUUUUGUCACAUUUGUGAUAAACAGGCAAGUUUGAAGAUGGAGGCUCCUCAGUAGUUUUUGGUAAAAGGUCAAAAACAACUAAUGGAUAAGAGCAUGAAUAAUUUGGGAGAGGACAAGGCAGAGGUAUGUGGAGUGUGAUGCAAAUUGAAACCUCUCCUAUUGUGUUAUUAUUUUUUUGUUCAGAGAAUGAAUUCAAAGCUUGAAAGGGGUUUUUUUCAGGAAUUUAUCCUUUUAAUUAUGAAAGGGCAGAACACAAUACUGGCCUCAAUGUGUGAUGCUUUCCAUUUUUAUUUUGUCCUUAGAUAAGAGAACCUACCUCAGUCAUAAAAACUUAGCAGACUGACCAGAGAGUAGCUAAGAAAGAAGCAGAGGACAGAAGAAUAAAGAAAAGUCUUUCUGAAGCCAAUUUUACACUGGAGAUUUUCUUUUCCUGCAUUUUGUUUUGUAUUUUUUAAUUCCAUUGUUCCAUGCAGCUCUGUUUUCCUCUGCAGCAACAAAACCUUUGAGGGCGAGUUAGUUUGCAGAUGAACCCUAGGUGUCAGUGAUAGGUGGAACUGUGCCACUGUGUAAAACAUUACUGCAGUUAACUUGCUGUAACAGGAUUUAUUAGGGUUGAUAUAUCAACAUCGCAAAUGGACGUAACUCAUCAAAAUUACUGUGCGGCAGCUGUGCCAAAGCAGAUAUAUUUUUAAGAAUUCACUGACAGGCAACGGUUACGAGAUUUUGGUGCCUUCUUUUUUUUUUUUUUUUUUGGUUAAGUUGUGAAGAUUGGAGCAUGUUGUUAUAAGACUAGCUGAGCUGGCCAGCAGAUGAGACCCCAGUCUGAGAGUUGUUUUAUUCCAUAUAUGUUUUGUUCAGAUUUUUUCCAGUUUGAGAAAUGGACAGAGAUGCAGAAAAAAAUCUGAGGUAAAGGACAGUUAUGGAACAGGAUUCAGAAGUGCUGUCCUCCUUUGUCUUUCUCCGCAAGUACCAUAUUUAUGUAAUUGCUUCACAGUCUCUUUAACAGUUAUUUGUAAUAAAUCUACAUAAUAUUUGGCGGCAGUUCUGUACAGACAGGGGCUUGUAGUUACAGAAAACAGGACACACCUCUGCUGCUGUGGUUUGUGUAUUUAGAUAAAAUUGGUCCAGGCUCAUGGCUGUGCUGUUGAUGAACGCUCCUUUUAUUUUCCUGUGAAUGAAUCCGACCUGGGUCAAAGAAGCAUUCAGAGUACUUUUGCUGCGGUGGGUUCAACAUGUCUGACACAACGAAACUUAAUGAAGUGUCAAUAAGUGCAACCCCACCAAGCUUUAAGUCAUUGAUUGGAUUACAAAUUGUCCUGUCUGGAACAAGUGGAGCAGGUUCAACCAACAAUCCUCCCCGGCCUCUUUUCAAUGUAGAUAAGGUCAUAUCUAUUUGCUGGAAUAGAAUUGGACUUUAAUUGCUACAUGCUGUAGGCUUACAACUAAUAUUCCUCUGCACCUGAAUUGGUAUUGUCAGUAUGUGAUGGCUGCUCCUCAGAUAAGGAUACACAGGCUGCAUGUGCAGGUGUUCGGUUUGUCUGCAGGAAGGUCAUCAGCAUUUGCUUGAAGAGAAAAGGUGCUGCUGUGUCACUAGAGCUGUUUGCACUUUCAUCUCAUACUUCAUCCCAAGGUCAUGGCUUAUUUAUUUUAAAGCCUUUGCAUAGUGAGUAUUAAUCAAGGAUCCCUGACCAUUGUGACUAGGUCUCCUCAGCCAUCUCAUGCAUGGGAAUCAAGAAAUGUGAAACUAGAAAAGCGACAGUCCUACUCCACUGUGAGACAAUUGGGAGGGAAGAGGUUGUGACUCAGACGAGUUCUGUGUGGUAUGUUUCCCUCUAUUGUCAUCCCUUUGUUGCGGUUUGAUCAGCACAGAACCUGGUUUUCGUUUGCCUUGCUCAAAUGCACAGACAAAAUGACAUUUACGCAUUGAUCCGGGGCCUCGCUGUUGUGCGUCUUGUGAUAGGGUUGGUGAUUUAAAGAAGCAGGUUGAGUCAUAUCUGGUCUUCCAUUUUUCCCCUUCUUUUGACACAUUGCCAUAGCUUACAAAAUCAAUGUAGUGGUGAAAAAUAUUUGAUAAUCACACAAAAUUGAUUGAUGGCACUUUGCCUGUACUACGUCGGAGUCUGUCCCUGAAAAGGAUAUUCUAUAUAAGGCGCUUUGAAGCAAAACAAUGUAAAGAACUCUAAUACCUGUCUUUAACUAGGCAAUUUGUAUUUGUAAGUAACUGCUAUACAUAUAAAAAUGACAUUGUUCAUUUGUUGCUAGGUAUAGAAGGUCAUUAUUUGAACAGAUCUCCUAAACCUCUCUUUGCCUUAUGGUAAAGGUGAGAGGUGGUACAGGUUGCUCCUGUGGAUCUGAGCCAGAUAUGUGCAGGUUGUUUGGGAGCUGGAGAGAGCUGAGGGUCUGGUCUUUUUGUAGUGGCAUCUCUUAUAAUAAUGCAUAAGGUAGCAUGGGCAGAGGCUUACAAUCCAUGAUGUAAAUGUUUUGUUGUGUUUUUUUAUAUGUUCAUAUUAAAAGACAAUAAAAUUUAAAUAAUAUUUUAUUAAGCCUUGAUUCGCCUCCAGUUGUUCCUAUAGGCAAACAGACAAUAAGAAGCUGUUGAGGGCAGCAGCACCUGAAGCUGAUGCCACUGAGGACUGGGUGGACUGGUUAAGGUGUGGAUUGUUAAGUCCUGUACCAAAUGCUCAGAUCUGGGGACACAUUUGAUGCCUGUUGAGGAUAAAACUGUAAAAUUUAAAAUGAUCGUAUUCUAACAGCUGUUAUUGACGUGUGGAAUUAAUUAAAAUCAGUUCUUAAAA